UCAGUCUGUGAUUUUUUUCUUUUUAAUAUCAGCCUGAAUGGACUAAGACAAUCCUUGUUGUAUUGUCUUGUAUCAGUAUGAUUUUAUGAUCAAAUAACAUUUCAUUGUAUGGGUACUGUAUUUCGUUUAUCCAUUCAUCAAUUGAUGGGCACAUGGAUUAUUUCCACCUCUUGGCUAUCAUGAAUAAUGCUAUUAUCAAGGUAAGUGGACUCGCACUGGCAGUGAGGCACCGCUACCACUGCCACAGCCCAGCCUCCCUCGGCUUCGGUGCUCCCGUCAUGGGGAUCUGGGGUCCCCAGCACACCCAGCUUCCCCAGCUCUGGAGCGCGUGUUUAGUCCUUCAGAAGCCCUGGUGCCAGCCUGGGCCCUUGCUGGGGAAGGAUGACUGAGCUGCAGUUGGCACUGCUAUUGUGAAGACACCUGGCAGAACUCAACAAAAACCCAGUGGAAGGAUUUUCAGAAGGUUUAAUAGAUGACAAUGAUCUCUACCAAUGGGAAGUUCUUAUUAUUGCUCUUCCAGAUAUACUUUACAAAGGUGGUAUUUUUAAAGCUCAUCUCACUUUCCCAAAAGAUUAUUGCCUUUGGCCUCCUAAAAUGAAAUUCAUUAUUGAAAUCUAGUAUCCAAAUGGUAAUAAACAUGGUGAUAUAUGCUUAUCUAUUCUUCACGAACCUGGGGAAAAUAAAUAUGGUUAUGAAAAGCCAGAGGAAUGCUGGUUGCCUAUUCACACAGUGGAAAUCAUCAUGAUUAGUGUCAUUUCUAUGCUGGCAAACCCCAAUGGAGACUCACCUGCUAAUGUUGAUGCUGCAAAGGAGUGGAGGGAAGACAGAAAUGGAGAAAUCAAGAGGAAAGUUGCCCGCUGUGUAAGAAAAAGCCAAAAGGCUGCUUUUGAGUGACAUUUAUUCAACAGCUGUAACUUCACUUAUUUUAGGGUCUCCAAUUGAGAAACAUGGCACUUUUUCCUGCACUCUACCCACCUAUUCCUGGACUUCUGUUGUAACAAGCUGGCAAGCACUGGUUGGAACUGGACUAUAAUAAAACAUGCCAGUAUCAAUGCUGGCAAGAGCCUAACAAAUGCCAGCUUCCAGACGAUUACGCAUUUUGAACUGUUAACCCUUUGGGAAGAAUUGUAAAGACCUGUACAUAGCACAGCAUGAUCCGGAUAGUAUAUAUACUGUUCACAUACACCUACAAAUAUACCUCAUACCAAAUAGCACUUUCUUGCAGUAGAAUAAGAAUCGUGUAAAUUCUAAAAAAUUUAAGCAGAUUUUCUUUCCCUAUUAUUGUUUCUUUUCAGAUUUAAAAGCAUGUCAGAUAAAAAGCAAUUAGGAUUAACAGUUUCCAUUUAAUUUCCUUUAAACCAUUGAGGCGUCAAUAAACUCUUUCCACUUACUAAACUUUUAUAUAUUCUUUGUUUUCACACACUCCCCUUUACUUUUAUCUCUUCUGUCUGCCAGGAAGUUUUCAAGUCAUUUAGUUCAAAUACCAAAGUACUCAAUAAGCAACUACUUGAUUUUUAAUGAUGACAUCAGAGGAGUGGUCACUAGAUGAUUUGUCCCUUUGUAUUGUACCUGCACCCAUCUCUCAGAUUGGAUACAGCAUAACUUUUUUUUUUUUUUUUGUCGUUACGAGCUCUUGAAUCCAGUCAUUAUCCCUAGGAACUAAAAAGAGUAAGUUCUGAAUUCAAUUCAGAUUUAAAAUGAUUGAAAUUUAUUCCCAACAACACAAAACUCUGAUUUGGUUUUAUUUUUGGCCCUCAGUUGCCUAAUGUGAAGGAUGGAUGAAUAAAGCAUGCAUAGCUACAGGCUUUCUACUUAACUUCUGGUUUUGCUAUUAAAAAUGGUGUUUAUCCUCAUCCCUUCUCCUUGGUCCUUCAUAUUUCUUUGCCUCUAUUCUUCUAAUACUGCAGAGUUUUCUCACCUAUUGGACAAAGAAAUUGUGAUGUAUUUUCAUGUAAUUUGAUUUUGGAAUUCUGUCACCUUAUCAGUGAGUUCUU